rnacentral:rRNA from 1 species
GUGAGUAACCUGCCCUCAACUUCGGGAUAAGCCUGGGAAACCGGGUCUAAUACCGGAUAGGACCUGGUCUGGCAUCGGACUUCAGGUGGAAAGUUUUUUCGGUUGGGGAUGGGCUCGCGGCCUAUCAGCUUGUUGGUGGGGUAGUGGCCUACCAAGGCGACGACGGGUAGCCGGCCUGAGAGGGCGACCGGCCACACUGGGACUGAGACACGGCCCAGACUCCUACGGGAGGCAGCAGUGGGGAAUAUUGCGCAAUGGGCGGAAGCCUGACGCAGCGACGCCGCGUGGGGGAUGACGGCCUUCGGGUUGUAAACCUCUUUCAGCAGGGACGAAGUUGACGUGUACCUGCACAAGAAGCGCCGGCUAACUACGUGCCAGCAGCCGCGGUAAUACGUAGGGCGCGAGCGUUGUCCGGAAUUAUUGGGCGUAAAGAGCUCGUAGGUGGCUUGUCGCGUCUGCCGUGAAAGCCCAUGGCUUAACUGUGGGUCUGCGGUGGAUACGGGCUGGCUAGAGGUAGGUAGGGGCAAGCGGAAUUCCUGGUGUAGCGGUGAAAUGCGCAGAUAUCAGGAGGAACACCGGUGGCGAAGGCGGCUUGCUGGGCCUUACCUGACGCUGAGGAGCGAAAGCGUGGGGAGCGAACAGGAUUAGAUACCCUGGUAGUCCACGCUGUAAACGUUGGGCGCUAGGUGUGGGGUCCUUCCACGGGUCCCGUGCCGUAGCUAACGCAUUAAGCGCCC